CUUAGAUGCCCUUAAAUAAAUUCCAAUAGUCUUCCCCACUUAUCUCUCCAUGCUCGUUCUCUGUAUCAUCACCACCCACCCGAUCUACUCUCACUAUUCUUCUCCACCCAUCCAUCUUAUGCCUUAAAAUUUAUCAAUUGGCAAAUACUCGGUACAUAGGAUCUCUAAUCAACAUGAAAUCUCUACUGAUUUGUCCCAUAAAGAUGGUAGGUUAACAAUUCAUGGUAAAUCCUUCGGUGAUGGCAUUGCUGGAAAAUUUUUUGGUCAAUAUUUAAAAGCAUGCAGUUCAAUAGUUUCCCUUGAAACUAAUUUUGUUUGAAUGCAGGCACUAGUAAUGAUAAUGGAGGGUCAAGUUAAAUGGAUUUUGAGAUGAGUGAUCCUAUAGCUUCAAAUAUUGAUAAGAAUUCAGCCUCAAAUAUUGACUUCAAUCCAAGAUCCUGCAGCUUCAAAAGCCACUGUCACAUGCGGUUCCAAGCCCAUCGGUUAUCAAUCCCAUGUUUUUGCUCUUUGCUAAAUAAAAAAGCCAAUGCCUUUGCUCUUCUCAAUGGCUUUCUUUCCCAAAGUGUUUCUUUUUAUGCCUCUCUCAUCCUUCAAUUUGCCACUCUUCUUGACCUUACAACCUGUUAUUGUCUUUUUAAAGUAAAUGUUUCUUUCAUUAACUAUGUUUUCAUGUGAAACACUUUCCGCCUCAAGGCAUGUGUUGAUAAUUCGAAUGUUUAGAAGGGUAUGGAGAUUCAUGGGUUUGUGUUCAAACUUGGUUUUGAUUUGGAUGUCUUUGUGGGUAACACCCUUUUGUUGUUCUAUGGUAAUUGUGGGAAUUUAACGGAUGUGAAU
rnacentral:misc_RNA from 1 species